CAGAUAGCAGACCCAGGGGAAGCGAUACACCCAGCAAGAGUCCUCCAGAGCGGUCCACCGGCAGGCACAGGCAAUGUCCCCUGAGUGACAUCUCUAGCCCAAAGAGCCCUGGUGGUGACAGGAAGUAAACAAGAAAGGCCCCUGAGCUGCCAGGAUGUGUCAUGGAGUUUACACAUGAAGGUUCAUGCCUUUCACUCACAGGAGAGACUUCCAGGCUCACUUACACCUAGAAUCAAAUCUAAUCAUCUGAAUAAUUCCCCAGCCCGUGUUGGAUGGUGCUCUCCAAGACAGCCUGGAUGACGGCCUGCUGAAGAGGUUCCCGUUUUGAUCCAUCUUCUUUACCUAAAAUAUGUGAACCCAUAGAUGGAUUUAUCAAAUGUGCAGACAAUUCCAAACUAUGGGGAAUAUGCUAAUAAAUUGGGCAAAUCUUCAAUUGGUC
rnacentral:lncRNA from 1 species